rnacentral:lncRNA from 1 species
UCUAGUACUUUUAAUUAAUCAUAUUUAUUGUAUUAUAACAUAUUCUAACCCCAAACAACACUAGAUAAGUCGUUUAGUGGUUCAACUCAAUGUUUCCGAGUUCUUAGCAUAUUUUGGACCCAAUUUUAACAAGUCUUUCUCCACACUUUUAAACACUCUUCAUGCAUCUCUAUCACUUGUAACCAAUCACAUUUAUUGUAUUCUAACAUAUUCUAACCCCAAACAACACUAGAUAAGUCAUUUAAUGGUUCAACGCAUUGUUUCCGAGUUCUUAGCCUAUUGGGACCCAAUUUCAACAAGUCUUUCUCCACACUUCUAAACACUCUUAAUGCAUCUCUAGAUAUUGUAAUCAAUUAAAUUUAUUCUAUUCUAACAUAUUAUAUCCCCAAAUAACACUAGAUAAGUCAUUUAGUGGUUUAACGCAAUGUUUCCGAGUUCUUAGCCCCUUUGGGACCCAAUUUCAACAAGUCUUUCU